AUGGCGCCAUCCCCGGCCGCCGCCGUGAAGACGACGAGAGCGACGUGCGUGCUGUUGAUCCUGCUCCUGUUGGCCGACGGGCGGUCGAGGCCCGUGGCUGGGCAGGCGCCACCGGCGCCCGAGGAGGCCGUGGCAAUCGAGGCGGAUGCCGACGGCCGUGGAAACGGCACCCGCGGCGGCGGCAGGAGCGCCGGGACGCCGAAGGAGUUGAGCGCCAUCGACUGCCAGGUCUGCGAGUCGACGUGUCGGGUCAAGUGCCUCGUCAACAACCUCUUGCAGUGGGGCAGCUGCUACCAGCACUGCAAGGCCGACAACUGCAACGAGUGGUGUAGGUAG
rnacentral:rRNA from 1 species